rnacentral:misc_RNA from 1 species
UUGAUUCAUUUUGAAUUUUUGCUCAGAGCUGUAAGAAAUAACGUCCGCGAGGGGACUACAGAAAGAGUUUGGUUGGUUCCUCCGGCGGGCGCCUGGUUCCGGGGCUGCGACGCACCCGGGGCGUGACCCCGCCGAGGCAACAGUUUGGUAACGUUCACAUUGGGUUUGGGAGUUGUAAACUCGGUAAUGAUCCUUCCGCAGGUUCACCUACGGAAA